AAGGACAAACUCGGGAACUGAGGAUAUACUCCAUAGGUCACGAGAUCUGGAAAGACUUGUGGCUCAAAGUUCAGGCGCUCUAGGAUUGGUCUGCGGCCUAUCAGGUAGUAGUGGGUGUAACGGACCCACUAGCCGAUGACGGGUAUGGGCCUUGAGAGAGGGAGCCCAGAGAUGGAUUCUGAGACACGAAUCCAGGCCCUACGGGGCGCAGCAGUCGCGAAAACUUCACAAUGGAGGCAACUCCGAUGAGGGAAUUCCUAGUGCCAAUGCAUUUUGUGUUGGCUUUUCUUCAGCGUAGAUAACUGAUGGAAUAAGGGCUGGGUAAGACGGGUGCCAGCAGCCGCGGUAAUACGAU
rnacentral:rRNA from 1 species